GACAGAGGGUGCAAGCGUUGUUCGGAAUCAUUGGGCGUAAAGCGCACGUAGGCGGCUGUGUAAGUCAGAUGUGAAAGCCCUGGGCUCAACCCAGGAAGUGCAUCUGAUACUGCACAGCUUGAGUCUCGGAGAGGGUGGUGGAAUUCCUGGUGUAGAGGUGAAAUUCGUAGAUAUCAGGAGGAACACCGGUGGCGAAGGCGACCACCUGGACGAAGACUGACGCUGAGGUGCGAAAGCUAGGGGAGCAAACGGG
rnacentral:rRNA from 1 species